UCUAGUUUAAGGUAGACAUAAAACGUGCACCUAAAAUCGUGUAGUGACGCCACAGAUUGAAUUGUAUCCAGCAAUUAUCAGAUAUUAACGAAAAGUUAUCCUAAAACUUGUAAAAAUAGUUAUCCUAAAACUUGUUAAACAGUGGUAAUAUAAAUUGCCUUUGGAAUAGUGUUAAAGCGCGUGUGCUCCCUUAGGGACCGGGCUUGGUUAGUACCAUCCCAAUCUAGCUUAGGAUUCCCUACUCAACGUGGGGUGCUUAUGUGUACCCAACGUAAGUACACGCGCGGCUGUUUCUAACCGCCACCGAGUGAGUAAGACGAUCAACGAGAUCGAGCAGUGGUUCCCCAAUAUAAACCAGCUAUUCGUCCCAGCCGUGGGUGUGGUGUGAUUUUUCCACCCAUACGGCUCAUUACCACCCACCAAGCUCCAGUGCAGUGUAAAGUGCUCGCUCACCAACGUUUCGGUCGCCGUCAGAAGUGUUCAUUCGAACAACACGCAUACGCACCCGGUCACUCGAGGAAAUCUGCUCGACCGGAAGGCACUGUCGGUGCAGUUCACGCGUUCAUUGGCGCACCGUUCAAUCAGCACGAGUACCUGGGAGCUCGAAAUCGCUACGCGCAUUUCGUAAAGGAGAUAGCUUCUCACUGCUCGACCACGUGAUGGUAAUAUCGAUUUGAUCGCUGGACUUUACGCGUACGCCAACGAGUUCAUCCACACCACUUCGACGCGUCGUGGGAGCUUCCCACCAAGAGCCAGGUUUAGGGUAGAAAUAAGGUAGGAUAGACAGUAAGACCGCCCUUCCCUCCAAUGUAAAACCCUAAAACGAAAUGCACGAUUAAUAUAAAUCUGUCUGAGUUUGCCAUUUCUAUAUUCUUUGUUCAAAUGGUAUUUUUAGUAAUUUUUUUCUCAAUGGUUUGAUCGGUUUGAUGAACAAUAUUUUCCACUUGGUCCAAAGGGUUCCCAAUUUAUUUGCUUCGGGUUUGGGUAGUUGAAGUGAACGAGAGUGUUUGAACCACUUAACUCGCCUAAAGAUAAGGGUCUCAGCCGGACUCCAACGUACGUCAGCAGCCUCCCUGGUACUGGGAGUGGCGCUUAAGCUGCUGAACGGUUGUAAGGACAUACUUCUUCGUUACAAUUUGGCGCCCAACGUGGGGCCGGUAAAGUGGUUAACUAGUUGAAUUCAUUUGGAUUUUGUUGAGAUAGUUUAGAUUUUCUUUCACUGUAAUAUAGU